rnacentral:rRNA from 1 species
GAUGAACGCUGGCGGCGUGCCUAAUACAUGCAAGUCGAGCGAACAGACGAGGAGCUUGCUCCUCUGACGUUAGCGGCGGACGGGUGAGUAACACGUGGAUAACCUACCUAUAAGACUGGGAUAACUUCGGGAAACCGGAGCUAAUACCGGAUAAUAUAUUGAACCGCAUGGUUCAAUAGUGAAAGACGGUUUUGCUGUCACUUAUAGAUGGAUCCGCGCCGCAUUAGCUAGUUGGUAAGGUAACGGCUUACCAAGGCAACGAUGCGUAGCCGACCUGAGAGGGUGAUCGGCCACGCUGGAACUGAGACACGGUCCAGACUCCUACGGGAGGCAGCAGUAGGGAAUCUUCCGCAAAGGGCGAAAGCCUGACGGAGCAACGCCGCGUGAGUGAUGAAGGUCUUCGGAUCGUAAAACUCUGUUAUUAGGGAAGAACAAAUGUGUAAGUAACUAUGCACGUCUUGACGGUACCUAAUCAGAAAGCCACGGCUAACUACGUG